GCACAAACUCAAUCACUAACUGUUUAUGAUGUUGCAGGAGUGAGGAGAACCAGGUUUGCCAGAGUAAUUGUACUGACAGAAAUGUAUAACUUCAGAUCCUACUGAGUUCACUAAUUCUAUCCAAGUACAGUG